rnacentral:misc_RNA from 1 species
GAGUUCAUGCCCUCACGGGUAGAAACGCCCACCCUUGUAUAAUAUAUCUUGUUGCUUUGGCAGGCCGCCUUCGGGCACCGGCUCCGGCUGGAUCGUGCCUGCCAGAGGACCCCAAACUCUGAAUGUUAGUGUCGUCUGAGUACUAUAUAAUAGUUAAAACUUUCAACAACGGAUCUCUUGGUUCU